rnacentral:rRNA from 1 species
UACGAAGGGGGCUAGCGUUGCUCGGAAUUACUGGGCGUAAAGGGCGCGUAGGCGGAUGUUUAAGUCAGAGGUGAAAGCCCAGGGCUCAACCUUGGAACUGCCUUUGAUACUGGACAUCUUGAGUACGGGAGAGGUGAGUGGAACUCCGAGUGUAGAGGUGAAAUUCGUAGAUAUUCGGAAGAACACCAGUGGCGAAGGCGACUCACUGGCCCGUUACUGACGCUGAGGCGCGAAAGCGUGGGGAGCAAACAG